rnacentral:lncRNA from 1 species
GAUAACAUGCUGCUGAAGAACCUUCAGAGAGUGCUGGAGAAUGAAGCCAGGACUCUAGGCUGCAGGCAGAUAUGCUGGAAGCCCUGCAGGAGCCCAUGGCUGGCCUAUGCGAACAGCUGCCUGUCCAUCCAGUGGGAAUAGCAGAAGCGGGUGGAGAAGAUGGAGAGGGAGGUGAUGGCCUUGCAGGAGAAAGUUAGGAAAAUUCUGCCUCAGACUGUGUUCUGAUUCUACCCGACAUUUCCAGAUACUUUGGCCCAACCCCACUGCUAUCCUGGAAGAGGACUCAAAGGACAAAGAUGGAGAGCUGUCAGUGGAGUAAAGUCUCCUUUGUCAGUAGGUCCUGGCUUUCUGGUCUUAUUUGUGUUUAAGAGAGACAUGAAUGGAUACACCAGCCAGGACCAGGUGGCAGCAGAACCAAUUAUCCCAUAGAUCUGGAAGACAGCUGACCCUGCACCUGGGCCACCCAGCCCUUCCUUCCUGAGCCACAUGAUCCUGAGGACAAUAGUGACAGCUAUAGUCAUUUGCUACCUAUACAUCUGGUAAAGGGUAAUAUAUGAAUAUGCAAGAACAACAUGGAAGCAGAAGAAUCUCCAGAUCAGUGAUGUCAUGUUGUGCCUAAUCCUCAGACAUCCAGUGGAGCUCAGUGUGGACAAAGGCUUUUCAACCAACCUGGGCUAGGGACUGUAGAUCAGCAGCUGGAGAGAAGACCUUUACACUGCUAAUGAUCAAGCCUGGACAGGGAUAGAGGCAUGAGGCAAGAGGGAGCAGGAAGGAGUAGACACAUAUCUCUUCAAAGUGAAUGGACUGUUAUUUGUAACCCCAAGGAUGAAUGUCAUAUGUGGAAACAUUUUGUAAACAGUCAGUAUAAAAACUGGUUCUUGGUGCCAGAGCCCUUACUGCCUGUUGUCAAGGGAGAAAGGAGGAAUAGAAAAUUCUACUCUCAACUAUUUGGCAUUUUCAGAGUGGGUAGCAUCAGUGCUUCUCUCCCCUUUCUUAUUUAUAGAACGUACUGCCCCAUACUUGUAAGGAAGACUCCCACUUCCUUUGGUGUGAUUUUAGCAUCUGUGGAUUAAUAGAGUGUGUAAAAACAACUGCUUAUGUAAAGUUACCCCAACCACCAGGAAUAGGAGAAUAUUCACAUAUUAGAACUGUCCUGGCAAAUGACUUGUGCACCUAUCAUGCUAUUUUAAUCUGGGGUGGGUAAAGUAAGUUCUUGUCUGGUGCAGCUAUUCAUUCAAGUAAAAACAUUUAGAACAAAACAAAUACUAUUGCUGUUGUGUCAGGAGCCACUCUGGACACCUUUAAGUCC